rnacentral:rRNA from 1 species
UACGUAGGGUGCAAGCGUUGUCCGGAAUUAUUGGGCGUAAAGAGCUCGUAGGCGGUUCGUCGCGUCGGCUGUGAAAAACCCCGGAGCUCAACUCCGGGCCUGCAGUCGAUACGGGGCGGACUUGAGUGUUGCAGGGGGAGACUGGAAUUCCUGGUGUAGCGGUGAAAAUGCGCAGAUAUCAGGAGGAACACCGGUGGCGAAGGCGGAUCUC